AGAGUGUUAUCGCAUGCAGAGGGGAAGAUGGAAUGUCAGUCCCAGGAGAAGUCACCACAGAAGUGGGAGAAUGUAACAUUGAACAUUUUAAGGUUCUACAAUCACAUAAUCAGAAGAGAGGGAGCAGAGAAAUUUAUACACAGAGUUACUUCUGAAGGACAAUAAGGAGCAAUGCGGCACCUCGGGGCCAUGAGUGUGGAUCUAGAAAGUGGGACUGAGUGAAUUCCAUGCCAAAGUGUUGACAACAUCUGAUAUGUGCAAGAGGGAUGCUGCGCGCACAGAACUGCACAUCUUGCUGAACAUAAUACCAUGCAAACACCAGUGGGGUUAGAUUUGCACACAGUAAUCAUUUAUUUGCUAUAAAAACAGAUGUGCCUUAUAAUUGCAUCUAAAAGGUGUGCUCCCAAAAUUAACAAUCCAAAACCUGU